ensembl:lncRNA
AUAUGACAUACUUAAGAAGUUGGAGAAAAAGAAAAGCAGAAGUUAAUGCCAUUGCUCAGUUGGAUAGUGAUGACAACCUUGAGCCAAAAGGACACAGGAGACUUUUUUAAGAAGCCAUGUGAGUCAAGGCUAUGUUCAAAGAAAACGGAAAAAAGACAAAGUUAUUGCAAACCAAAGACCUUUACCGGAAGGUUGCUUGUCUCCCUUGUGAACAAGGGCAUGUCCUUUUUCCUCUCCUCCAUGGAAUGGAGCACAGGAAAUGAACACAAAUAAUGCAAUGGUAUACACACGGGCUGUUUGGGUGGAGAAUGGGAAGCAGAUGGAAGGAGUUUUGCCAUUGAACUGGAUUGACACAGAGACCAAAGUGGUGCGAUGGCGUCUAAAAAAACGUGUCUGUGGCACAUAAGCGCCUUUUACAACCACAAGAGGAUUGGUUAAGCUUUGAAUUUGUUAAAGUCAAAGUGACAUCAGUAAGCCGACAGGAGUGUGAAAAAUAUAAUUACACCUCAGCUCAAACCGAAGAGGAGGACACAGUCAGUCAAAAGAGAAUGAAGAAAAGAAGGAAAUUUGAAGAUUAUGUUCAAGGGUCGGAUUUGUCUCCUGAGGAGGAUGAGUCCUUGCCAGACAAGAAAAAGGAGGAUACAGUGUUGCUUCCGGUUCCUCCACCAAAGAUUAAGCUCUCACAUAAGGGACAAAAUGCAAUGCUGCUCGAGUUACCUGCACCCCCAGAUCUGGCUAACACCACCAUUAGACAACCAGUGAGUCCUGCAUCUUCAGACAUUUCUGGAUGUUCUUGUCCAACACAUCACCGUUCACCCACAAGGUCUGAAUCAUCAGAAGCAUUUAGUCCAGAGUCAGCCAGGUCUAGGUGUUCUCGCACACCUCAGCUUGGAGUUCGAAAGCCAUCACAGUCCAGGAGCAGAAAAAGUCGGGCGUCCUCAUCCAGUGAGUCUUUAAAAACGAUUUCAAUGAGCUUCCAUGCUGUUUUUUGUUUAAUAAAUUUUUUUAGGAUCUAUGGGUUCUUGCACACCUCAGCGUGGAGUUCGUAAGCAAUCACAGUCCGGGAGCAGAAAAGGUUGGGCAUCCUCAUUCAGUGAUUCCAUGAUCAGUUGCAUUCUUCAUAGUUGUCAAUUCUCCUACCUCACUUAUUGACAUUAUUGCAGGAGCAGCUGUCUUUAAAUAAUGAUUUUAAUGAGCUUCAAUGCUGUUUUUUAUUUAAUAAAUUUUUUUUAGGAUCUAUGGGUUAUCGCA